ACCAGCUCAAAGGCCACGAUUGCUCACCACGCACAAGAUGUUUUUGCAUCUUUUAUUCGUGAGCGGGCUAAGGUCUGAGUAUUUCAAUCAUUCCUUGAUCGACUCUAGCUGAGUCCAGCUGUAACUGGCUGAGCGACGUACCAGAAAAUCAGCUCAUCUGUCCAUUAUCCCCAAGAUCCUACUUGUACUAGGGGAGGGUAGGAUAGAUGGACUUUGGGAAGCGUUGCGAGGAUCGGGUGGAUGGUUCAUUCCAACGGAUACGUUCUCCACAUUUCUAUCGCGCCCGCUUGCACUUUGCAGGCAGCAGAUAUGUGUUUUACCUGCUCAAACGUCUUUCUUUCCGAACUGGCCAAGCAGCCCAAUUCGGUUGCUCUCAAUACGAGCUUCUUCAGUAUGCUCCUUCGCUACGAUUCUGCGGCGUGCAUUCCGAUUGGUCAUGUUUCGGAUGGAGCCACCUGAGCCUAUCAAUCUCAGAGCUCCUGGCGUACGAGUUAAUUGGAUGUUGGCGUAACGUUGGAAGAACCUCUAUCCUUGAGUUCACUUCGUGGCUCGCGUCUUUUACAGACCGCGAAACUCGAUUCAGACUACUCUUGAGCUGGU
rnacentral:RNase_P_RNA from 2 species